rnacentral:rRNA from 1 species
GGUUCGAGAGUUAGGCAGGACCAGUUUGCGGUUGUCAAGUGAUACUAGAUUUAAAGGCCGCGGUAUUUUGACCGUGCAAAGGUAGCGCAAUCACUUGUCUUUUAAAUAAAGACCUGUAUGAAUGGCUAAACGAGGGCCUAACUGUCUCCCUUUUCAAGUCAGUGAAAUUGAUCUGCCCGUGCAGAAGCGGACAUAACCAUACAAGACGAGAAGACCCUAUGGAGCUUAAGGCAUAAAAUUCAACCACGUCAAACAACUCUAUAAAAAGCCACCAAACCUUGUGGUAAAUGAAACCGUGCCUUCGGUUGGGGCGACCAUGGAGGAAAGAAAAGCCUCCAAGUGGGCUGGGAUUACAUUCCUAAAACCAAGAAAGACAUUUCUAAGCCACAGAACAUCUGACCAAUAAUGAUCCGGCCCAUGUGGCCGAUCAACGAACCAAGUUACCCAAGGGAUAACAGCGCAAUCCUCUCCCAGAGUCCAUAUCGACGAGGGGGUUUACGACCUCGAUGUUGGAUCAGGACAUCCUAAUGGUGCAGCCGCUAUUAAGGGUUCGUUUGUUCAACGAUUAAAGUCCUACGUGAUCUGAUUUCAGACCAGGAUCUUCGCCUGUUUUAUCAAAAACAUAUACGUGAUCUGUAGUUCAAGAGCAGGAGCCG